GAUACUGUUGUCAUUAGCGUUUCUUGUCGUUAAAAAUGGGAAAUUAUUAGGCGAUAGUGUCGGGUAUAGAUUACGAUCCAAUGUUCCAGAUCGCUGUCAUUAACGAGAGUUGUCGGUGGUAGACUAAGAGGGAGCUGCCGCGCAAUGCCGCGCAAUGCGUGAUGGGAGUCGAGCAGACCAGCUGAUCAGCAUGAUCAAAAUGGCGGCCUUUUCGUAGCGAUAGCCCGGUAUCCAGCCGUAUAUAGCUCCUGUUCUCUCCGUAUCAUAGCUCCCGAGCACUGUCCCGAGUCUCUUCUGUUCUCUCCGCAAAUGGCAGGCGAGACUUGAGAGCUACAAUAUGGCUGGAUACCAGGCUAGAUGUAGCCUUAUGUGCGAUGUAAAAGCAAGUACCCGUACAACGGUCGUUUAUAUAAUUUUUCAAAAGAUUAUGGUUAGCAUCUGUGAAGAUAACACCACAUUGAUACUGAUAGGAGCCAUAGUUUUGAUAGUUGCUUGGUGGCACGAGGUAGAUUCACAGCGGUAACCAGAAAAUCUCGGCGUACAAUUACGGCUGUCAACGUAACGCUCCCGGCUCCAGCCUUACAGGUACCAGACUCAACACAUGGCCGAACUAUUGGUGCAUAUGAGGAAAGCAGGCAUACCGGGACCAGUCUCCUUGCCUUUGGGACCAAGGGCGAUAUGGAAUACCCCGUGUUGUAUUCUAUUUAUAUCAUGCCAACCUGAGCAAACUCAAGUUUAUUGCUAAAAAGAACAAAUGACGGGACAAGAAGCUGAUGAUCAUGCAGCAGUCGAUUACCUGUUUCUACAUAGAGGAAUUAUUCAGUAACACCAGCCAUGUCCUAUUUUUUAAUGCAGUGAGGCUUAAACAAUAUGUCUCAUCGUCCUCAUCGGUCCCUUGACCAGGGGUGGUCGUGGGAGCACUUUGCUACUGAGCAAAUGAACAAUGAGUCUGUAAAAAGUUAAACUAGUAGUAGUAGAGGUGUACAGACAGCUUGUAUAUAGAAAGUUUUUUUUGUUAUUCUGCAGUGUGCUGUGUUUGUUAUCAUGUUAUAAUUGCUGUAACUCAGAUUCAAAUUCUUUUAAAAUCAUGUCUCUUUAGAUGGAAGAUAUAGUACUAGUAGAGUACAUUGAGUAGAAAAUGUUGAGGUUGUAUCUGUUUUGCAUGUUAAUUACAACUAACUUGUAUUAUACAUGAUGCAGAGAACUUUCUAAUGUUCUGUGUUGUAUUAGAUAUUCCAUGUAACAGCCUUUGCAUGUAAGGUAGCUAUGGGGAAGGAUGGAUUAGUUGUAUGUUUCAGAUGCUCAUCCAAAAAUAUUUAGGUAUAUGGGCAAUUGCUGAUGACUUUCAAAACACCAAAACACAGCGUUGGAGC